UCGAAACACGGAUUCAUUAGACCUGGACACGUUGCACGAAUGAAAUGGACAUGAAAUCCGCGGACAGGGAGUCAUGUCUGGAAGUUUGACACGCAGGCUCUUUCAGCGUCUGGCGCCAGUUUUACGAUCUAUAAACAUGGAACAUGUGUAUUGCAGACUAGAACAUGCUGUCUUGGUAAUCAUGCUGGCAACCGAUCGAUGUGCCCGAGCCAAUGAAGACUUGACGGACUGACGGGCGCCGCAUGGAACAAAUCGUCCACAAUGAGUGACUAGCUGGCACCGUCACCACACCAUACCCGCCAACGCAACGCACCUCCUUGCUCAGUAUAAAUACAGCAAAGUCUCAGAUCAGAUACCAGAUCUUCUCGCAUUCUUUGAGCGUGAAUAAGAAGCAAGCAAAAGAUGGGGAAAAUGCUCCUGUUUCUCAUUGGCAUGUUGCUCGUUGCGGGUGCGUCCGCAUUGACUCCAGAACAAGAGGCGAUGUAUAAGUGCAGCCUCAAGAGGGGAACAUGUCAGGUGACUUGCUUUGCUGGCUUUAAGGAAAGCGGAGCGUGCCUCGGCGAGGAGAAAUGUUGCACCAUUUAAAGCGAAAUGAAUCUUUCACCAAGGAACUACGUUUCGUUUGGGUCUGAUAUCAACUGAUUGUCAAGAAAAACAGUGUGGAAAGCUGAAUUGAUAAACAACAAUUACUCACU